GCNCCCUCCGCGCCAUCAGACUCCUACGGAGGCGAGCAGUGGGAAGUAUUGGACAAUGGGCGGCAAGCCUGAUCCAGCAAUGCCGCGUGUGUGAAGAAGGCUUCGGUUGUAAGCACUUUAUCAGGAGCGAAAUACUACCGGUUAAUAACCAGUGGGCUGACGGUACCUGAGGAAUAAGCACCGGCUAACUUCGUGCCAACAGCCGCGGUAAUUC
rnacentral:rRNA from 1 species